GGGAGCUUGCUCCCGGAUGUUAGCGGCGGACGGGUGAGUAACACGUGGGUAACCUGCCUGUAAGACUGGGAUAACUCCGGGAAACCGGAGCUAAUACCGGAUAGUUCCUUGAACCGCAUGGUUCAAGGAUGAAAGACGGUUUCGGCUGUCACUUACAGAUGGACCCGCGGCGCAUUAGCUAGUUGGUGAGGUAACGGCUCACCAAGGCGACGAUGCGUAGCCGACCUGAGAGGGUGAUCGGCCACACUGGGACUGAGACACGGCCCAGACUCCUACGGGAGGCAGCAGUAGGGAAUCUUCCGCAAUGGACGAAAGUCUGACGGAGCAACGCCGCGUGAGUGAUGAAGGUUUUCGGAUCGUAAAGCUCUGUUGUUAGGGAAGAACAAGUGCAAGAGUAACUGCUUGCACCUUGACGGUACCUAACCAGAAAGCCACGGCUAACUACGUGCCAGCAGCCGCGGUAAUACGUAGGUGGCAAGCGUUGUCCGGAAUUAUUGGGCGUAAAGGGCUCGCAGGCGGUUUCUUAAGUCUGAUGUGAAAGCCCCCGGCUCAACCGGGGAGGGUCAUUGGAAACUGGGAAACUUGAGUGCAGAAGAGGAGAGUGGAAUUCCACGUGUAGCGGUGAAAUGCGUAGAGAUGUGGAGGAACACCAGUGGCGAAGGCGACUCUCUGGUCUGUAACUGACGCUGAGGAGCGAAAGCGUGGGGAGCGAACAGGAUUAGAUACCCUGGUAGUCCACGCCGUAAACGAUGAGUGCUAAGUGUUAGGGGGUUUCCGCCCCUUAGUGCUGCAGCUAACGCAUUAAGCACUCCGCCUGGGGAGUACGGUCGCAAGACUGAACUCAAAGGAAUUGACGGGGGCCCG
rnacentral:rRNA from 1 species